rnacentral:rRNA from 1 species
GAUGAACGCUGGCGGCGUGCCUAAUACAUGCAAGUCGAGCGAACGGACGAGAAGCUUGCUUUUCUGAUGUUAGCGGCGGACGGGUGAGUAACACGUGGAUAACCUACCUAUAAGACUGGGAUAACUUCGGGAAACCGGAGCUAAUACCGGAUAAUAUUUUGAACCGCAUGGUUCAAAUGUGAAAGACGGUCUUGCUGUCACUUAUAGAUGGAUCCGCGCUGCAUUAGCUAGUUGGUAAGGUAACGGCUUACCAAGGCAACGAUGCAUAGCCGACCUGAGAGGGUGAUCGGCCACACUGGAACUGAGACACGGUCCAGACUCCUACGGGAGGCAGCAGUAGGGAAUCUUCCGCAAUGGGCGAAAGCCUGACGGAGCAACGCCGCGUGAGUGAUGAAGGUCUUCGGAUCGUAAAACUCUGUUAUUAGGGAAGAACAUAUGUGUAAGUAACUGUGCACAUCUUGACGGUACCUAAUCAGAAAGCCACGGCUAACUACGUG